rnacentral:rRNA from 1 species
UGUAGUUAAUAGCGGCAUCAUUUGACGUUAGCGACAGAAGAAGCACCGGGCUAACUCCGUGCCAGCAGCCGCGGUAAUACGGAGGGUGCGAGCGUUAAUCGGAAUUACUGGGCGUAAAGCGCAUGCAGGUGGUUAGUUAAGUCAGAUGUGAAAGCCCGGGGCUCAACCUCGGAACUGCAUUUGAAACUGGCUGACUAGAGUACUGUAGAGGGGGGUAGAAUUUCAGGUGUAGCGGUGAAAUGCGUAGAGAUCUGAAGGAAUACCGGUGGCGAAGGCGGCCCCCUGGACAGAUACUGACACUCAGAUGCGAAAGCGUGGGGAGCAAACAGGAUUAGAUACCCUGGUAGUCCACGCCGUAAACGAUGUCUACUUGGAGGUUGUGGCCUUGAGCCGUGGCUUUCGGAGCUAACGCGUUAAGUAGACCGCCUGGGGAGUACGGUCGCAAGAUUAAAACUCAAAUGAAUUGACGGGGGCCCGCACAAGCGGUGGAGCAUGUGGUUUAAUUCGAUGCAACGCGAAGAACCUUACCUACUCUUGACAUCCAGAGAACUUAGCAGAGAUGCUUUGGUGCCUUCGGGAACUCUGAGACAGGUGCUGCAUGGCUGUCGUCAGCUCGUGUUGUGAAAUGUUGGGUUAAGUCCCGCAACGAGCGCAACCCUUAUCCUUGUUUGCCAGCACUUCGGGUGGGAACUCCAGGGAGACUGCCGGUGAUAAACCGGAGGAAGGUGGGGACGACGUCAAGUCAUCAUGGCCCUUACGAGUAGGGCUACACACGUGCUACAAUGGCGCAUACAGAGGGCGGCCAACUUGCGAAAGUGAGCGAAUCCCAAAAAGUGCGUCGUAGUCCGGAUUGGAGUCUGCAACUCGACUCCAUGAAGUCGGAAUCGCUAGUAAUCGUGGAUCAGAAUGCCACGGUGAAUACGUUCCCGGGCCUUGUACACACCGCCCGUCACACCAUGGGAGUGGGCUGCAAAAGAAGUGGGUAGUUUAACCUUCGGGAGGACGCUCACCACUUGGUAGG